UACGAAGGGGGCUAGCGUUGUUCGGAAUUACUGGGCGUAAAGCGUGCGCAGGCGGUUUCUCAAGUCAAGGGUGAAAGCCCGGAGCUCAACUCCGGAAUUGCCUUUGAAACUGUGGAGCUAGAGUGCGGGAGAGGUGAGUGGAAUUCCCAGUGUAGAGGUGAAAUUCGUAGAUAUUGGGAAGAACACCGGUGGCGAAGGCGGCUCACUGGCCCGUAACUGACGCUCAGGCGCGAUAGCGUGGGGAUCAAACAGG
rnacentral:rRNA from 1 species